rnacentral:rRNA from 1 species
CACGUAGGGCGCAAGCGUUGUCCGGAAUUAUUGGGCGUAAAGAGCUCGUAGGUGGUCUGUUGCGUCCGCUGUGAAAACUCGGGGCUUAACCCCGAGCCUGCAGUGGAUACGGGCAGACUAGAGGUAGGUAGGGGGAGAAUGGAAUUCCUGGUGUAGCGGUGAAAUGCGCAGAUAUCAGGAGGAACGCCGGUGGCGAAGGCGGUUCUCUGGGCCUUACCUGACACUGAGGAGCGAAAGCAUGGGGAGCGAACAGG